rnacentral:lncRNA from 1 species
UUUUUUAUAAUUUCUCCGUUAAUGAAGGGCAACAGAGUCAUUCAUCAUCCUCUUCCUUUUUGACCUGCGAAUUAGGGCUGGGACUUCUGAUAUUCGGUUUGGAUUCUGAUAGAAUCCGAUCGGGUCCGGGUUUUUUGGAUAAAUGAAUUCUAUACCCAAUGGGUAUUUAGUAGAUUUCGGUUCGGGUUUCGGAUCGGAUACUAUUGGUUUCGGGUCGGUUCCAGAUACCCGUUUUUUAUUUGAAUUAUAUGAAUAUUUGCAAAAUAAAAUAAUUAUAUACCAGUUUUUAUUUAUUUUUUUAUUUUUUAAGGAAAAGUA